ACAAACUCCCGCACUGCAAGUUAUUAUGACGCAACGGAUUCAUGUGUAAGCACAAAUACAACAGCUUCGUUAUCAAUUCCGUUUGGUGUUUUUUUCUUUCUUAUAAAAUAAAGUUAAUGUCACACAUUUUUAAAGCAAACCCAAAGAAACAGCUAAUUUACCUUUAAGAGAAUAGCCGUGGACAAAAGCAUGACAUAAGAAGCAGAAUCUCUGGCUCCAUCGUGCUCGUGCUCGUGCUCGUGCGCGCGCUCUCAGACACUGGUCUGUUUACAUCAGCGAUUGUUCUCUGAGGACAAUAGGAAGAUGCCACACUGAGCCCUGAAUGUCAUUAUGGAAGGAAGUCAGGGGUGACAGACACACCACGUCCCACUGAGAGAGAGAGAAGGUAUAAAAGGACAGGGUGGAGGGAGAGACUGGUAGUUCCACUGCUACAACACAAAGUCUGUGGAGGAUUCAAACAAACACUGAAUCUCUGAAUGUUCGGCUGCUGGUGCUCAGCACUGUGAAGAGAGAAAGCUGAUGGGACAGUAGGGUACCCUCACCCCUUCUUCCUCUUCUUCGAAAUCCCUAUUGCCAUUCUCUCCAGACCCACCUUUCUGGAGGUCAAAGGGCAAACCCUGAAUCCUUGGACUGGCAAUCAGACAAAAAAACAAGGCUAAGACAUCACAAAUAAGCCAAGAUACAAGAGGAGAACUGAACAUAUACACAGAAAGAGAUCCAGCACAUGGGGACAUAUGGACCGCAGCUGAAAGAAGCAAAGGUGAUGACCGAGAUUCCUUACAGGACAUUGUCAGCAUUGCUCUGUUAUAGAUGAAAUGACCUUUACCGUGUACAGAAAUCCAAA